GGAAGCUUAGCUCAGUUGGGAGAGCAUCUGCCUUACAAGCAGAGGGUCAGGGGUUCGAGCCCCUUAGCUUCCACCA
rnacentral:tRNA from 1 species